GAAAACAGUAACUACGUUAGCUAUCGUAUUAUUGCACCUGUGUACCAUGAACCGCACAAGGGACCUCCCCGGGCCCUGCUCUGUUCUCAGUGACACUUCGAUUAUAAGAUUUUAACUUAAGAGGGUCAAAUGUUGACAUCCCUCUAAGGUACUACUUGUCACAGUAAUGGAAGCCACGUUUGUGUCGAGCCUGUGCCGAAAGUACAAUAAUAGAGGAUGUGAUGGCAUACUAGUUGGAAUAGAGGUCGCCCUCGUAUUGACUAUGAGGCAAAACCGGCCAUACCAUGCUGAUGAGUCAUAAUAAGGACGAAACAGCUGUCAAUGGUUGCCGACUGUGCUAGCGUCCCGUCUUGGCCCGACUGAUGCCAAUGUGUGUGCUAGUGUGCUUUUAAAGUUCACAGAGUAUCACAUUAUACUCAUGUACCAAAGGUACUAUAAUACAUGGUAAUAUAAAAAGGGUAAUGAAAAAGGUACUGGCCUACCGAAAUAUUUUUCUUCAAAAAAAAGAAUCUGCUUAGUUGUCGACUAUUUUCUUUCAAAUUUCGUAUUCAUAUUUAACUGUCGUCGCAGACAAAAGGGUCCGACCCACACAAGCAGAUAGAGGCUGUCCGGUGGUUUUGUUCUUAUUGAUGGUAAAGUUAAACACAAUAGACGGGACACAUCCAUAACGGAGCAAUAUUAUACAAACGUGACAUGUGCGACACCUAGAAUAUGCCCUACACGCGUGGAAUGUCCUCGCGGCUAUGAAAAGACCCUCCAGUGUCGACUGUACACGAUGGCAAUUUGUCGGUAAUUAUUUUCAAGUUACGUGUUGCGCUGCAUAGGAAGUUCAACUAUCUGAUUAAACAACACUAAUAUUUGC